GUUGGAUAGUCUCUGUCCAGUAACAAGUGGGAUUAAGCCAAGAACAAAUUCUGAUCUUUAUUUGACAAGAAAAAGAGAGAAAGAACUGGUGGGACUUGUGGCUCUUUAAUAUUGUUAAACAUUAACUGUAAUCUCCUUGUGCGCAAACCCUUGAAUCCACGUGAGUGGAUGGAUGUCAAUGCUGUUAUACUAGCAGCUGAAAAUGCAAAGCUGAAGUACAUCUUGAAGCAUCACUUGUGAUAUUUUCCUCCCCUGUGGUCAGCUUGGUGGACACCUCAUUUCUGUUUAGUGGUGUGUUAGACAGCCUUGGUAUUAUUGUAAGGAUAAUUCUCAACAAAGGGGAAGAGCUGAGCUUAAAGAGAAGAGCUGAGUUUUGGGAACGGAGCAGCUAUUCACAAUGAUCUCGAGGAAAGAGAUAAACUACAAUCAACAUGGAUCGAUGCAACGUCGAUUGCUCCAUCAAAGCCACUAUAUUGAGCCGAUUAACCCACUGCAGUGAACUUUACUAACCUGUUAGUUUGCUUACUAAUCUGUCGUAAGAAUUAAUUUGAUUACUAACCGU